rnacentral:rRNA from 1 species
AACGAACGCUGGCGGCAGGCUUAACACAUGCAAGUCGAGCGCCCCGCAAGGGGAGCGGCAGACGGGUGGGUAACGCGUGGGAAUCUACCCAUCUCUACGGAAUAACGCAUGGAAACGUGUGCUAAUACCGUAUACGUCCUUCGGGAGAAAGAUUUAUCGGAGAUGGAUGAGCCCGCGUUGGAUUAGCUAGUCGGUGGGGUAAAGGCCUACCAAGGCGACGAUCCAUAGCUGGUCUGAGAGGAUGAUCAGCCACACUGGGACUGAGACACGGCCCAGACUCCUACGGGAGGCAGCAGUGGGGAAUAUUGGACAAUGGGCGCAAGCCUGAUCCAGCCAUGCCGCGUGAGUGAUGAAGGCCCUAGGGUUGUAAAGCUCUUUCACCGGUGAAGAUAAUGACGGUAACCGGAGAAGAAGCCCCGGCUAACUUCGUGCCAGCCGCCGCGGUAAAAC